GACUACAGGGGUAUCUAAUCCUGUUUGCUCCCCACGCUUUCGUCCCUCAGGGUCAGUACUGCGCCAGUGAGCCGCCUUCGCCAUCGGUGUUCUUCCUGAUAUCUACGCAUUCCACCGCUACACCAGGAAUUCCGCUCACCCCUCGCAGACUCCAGCCCGCCAGUAUCCAAUGCCGUUCCGCAGUUGAGCCGCGGGAUUUCACAUCAGACUUGGCAGACCCCCUACGGACCCUUUACGCCCAGUGAAUCCGAAUAACGCUCGCCACCUACGUAUUACCGCGGCUGCUGGCACGUAGUUAGCCGUGGCUUCCUCUGAGGGUACCGUCACAUUCUUCGUCCCCUCUGACAGAGGUUUACAACCCGAAGGCCUUCAUCCCUCACGCGGCAUCGCUCCGUCAGGCUUUCGCCCAUUGCGGAAGAUUCUCGACUGCAGCCUCCCGUAGG
rnacentral:rRNA from 1 species